GGCCCAGCAAAUACCAAACUGCAACCUUGGUUUUGAUUUCUUAUCCUGGGUCU
rnacentral:tRNA from 1 species